CUAGCGCCGACUUAUAACCAUUUGGGAUAUGAACUCUAACUUUAAAAAAGGUUAAACAAAAUUAGGACAAGAAGGCUCCUUUCAGCGAGGUUGACAGGAACACUUUUAAUAUUCCUCUAGGCGGCCUUAUUCUUGAGUUAAACAUAGAGAUCAAAGAGGAGACAAAAAGCAAAAUUUGGAGGGCUCUCUUUAACUAUAUCCUUUCUGGAUAAUACAAGCAUUUGCCUUGUGGGAGUGAGGUUUACACUGUAAGUUAUGGGCGUUUUCUGGUGACUCCAGGGAAUCUCACUGUAGAUAUUCUAGACCCCCCACUACAUGAUGAUAAAUAGGCGAAAAAUAAGAAAAAGAGGUCGUGACUUCAACUAAAGUUUGAAGGGUAUUCGCCUCAUACUGAGGGUGGGGGGUUUACAAACUUUUGCGAAACAAAUUCAGAAGCGCGACUUGGACGGCACCACGCCCAGAAGUUUACUCUUUGUAGCAUUCGAUGCUCUUCUUCUGAGGAUUAAUUUUACCAUCUCAAAAUAUAUAUUCCAAAAGGCUUCUGGCGUGUUAUAGCCGAACUUGCUUAAAAAAGCUUCUUUCUCCAUGUGUAAAAUUUUUAGAAUCGUAAAAAACGGCUUCAGGUAGUUCAUUUUUUAACCAACUUUUCUUCAGUUCUUCAUAGCAUUAUAUUGGCAAAAAAAAAAUAUAGCUGAAGUCUUUCGAUAUUGCAGCAAACAUAUUUUUUUUUGGAUCCCCACGGAGUGCAUCAGUAGUAAACACUUUUUCA